rnacentral:lncRNA from 1 species
GGAAAAGGCAUUAUGUGUGUGUGUGUGUGUGUGCAAGUCAACCAACAUCAUGUGUCUUCUUUAAUCACAUACAUCAUCAUCACAUCAUCAUCAUCACCAUCACAUCAUCAUCACAUCAUCAUCAUCACCAUCACAUCAUCAUCACAUCAUCAUCACAUCACCAUCAUCAUCAUCACAUCACCAUCAUCAUCAUCACAUCAUCAU